GCUGAGGGGGCGGGCCGAGCCCGGGCCGAGCCUGCGGAGCAGGCCUCGGGUCUGGCUUCGUGUGGGGGAAUCGGAUCGGCCCGCAGCCUUCAGACAAGCAUUCGCUGUUCUGCUGAAGACGUCACAGCGCAAUGGAAAAACCCAGACUUGCCUGGGAGGCUUUGCUGCUGAUUCAUGUGUGGAGAGUUUCUUCAGGUGUGAGCUUUUGCUCUGAGUGCUUCUCUGCAGCUUCGCAUUUGUUGCUCCAUUUAGCUAAGGGUGGCGAGGUAAUUGGUUUUCCUCUUUAAUGUUCCUCCUGUUUUAUGUCAGCACCAGCAGGCAUCCCUGGCAGGAUGUGAUGUGCUUUCACUUGGAUCACAAAACCUUUACAUGACCUGGUGCUUCUCUCUUAUCACUUGGGUUGAAUUUUCCCUCAUGGUUUCAAGUCAGAGAGAUGCCUCCAUCCUGUCGCAAGAGGCUUUAGGCAGAAGUUCUGUAUUUUGUUUGUGCUGUUAGCUCUUUCCCCUCAGAUCUGUAAGGCCAGUCAGCUUUCCACUGUCUGCCUCUCCCGAAGGUCUGGUUUGGGCCUUGGGGGAGGAGGAAGUACUGUACUGCACGCGUUCACCCUGUGACAGCAGCCUGCUAAAUCUUGUGCCCUGUGUCCUUGAUAGCAUGGCCAUGUCUUUACUGAGAGUGCUGAUAAUGAGGAACUGUAAGGGGGUAGAGGUUCAUGCUUUCUUUUUUCCCCCUUGAUCCACAUGCACUGAAACAGGGCGUAAUAUCAUGAGUUUUCAGUUUGUUUUGCUGACUUUGCAUUUAGUAACUGUAAUUUCACUACAGGUUGUGACUUUGGUGACCAGCAGUGAUUGGAAGCUGAAAACAGGGCCCAAAAUAAUGGAAGUGGGUAUAUCCUUAACGACAGUGUUUACCAGAGACAUCCAAAACAUGAAGGGGAAGUAGGGAGGUGACAAUGCUGCAAGGUGUGAUCAUCUCUACAACUAAAGGGAAGAUCUGCAGGGAUUCAGAGCUGCACAGACACAGGCAUAGCUUAAGCCAGGGUUUGUAGGUGAGAGCGUGCAGGUUUCAAGCUUGAAUGGCUGGGAAGCACUGCAGGAAUUUCUGCUUCACUUGGAGGUAGAUUUAUCUUGCUCAGUGGGGGGUUUGAGUUCACCCCCUGGAUGCCAGGAGGCAGAUCUGAAGGGCUUGGCCUGCCCUGACUGUAGGAGACCUUGGCCUCUUCGUCACUCUGAGCUCAUACCAGCCCAGGAGCAUAUCUUGGUGGAUCUCCCAUACUCUCAGAGCUGUUGAUGUUUUUUAUCCUCAUGCUUUUGUCCUUUAAUCACAUCUGCUGAAAUAACAAGCUCUGGGCACAGCCUGGAGGCUGGGGAAGGGGGAGAAAAGCAUUUACUCAUUUGUUCUUCUGUGUUCUUUUUUCUCUCCUCAGUUACCCGAGGCAAAGCCAAGUGGAGCAGCGAGAAGAACUCUGGAAGGAGCAAUGAUCCUGGCCUUGGGAAUACACAGUAGUGGAAGUGGAGCAGCCAGUGCACAUCCAGGAGGGAAUACACACCAGUGUGCAAUUGCCUGAAGAGAGGAGGCAUCUGGGCAGACCAGUGUUGUGUAGGAAGAUAAUUCGGAAUAGAGAAACAGAUGCUUUCUGAAAGCUGAUGGCAAAGUGAAAAUAAAGCCUCUUUAGGCAGCCUGAGUUGCAAGGUUAGGUAGGCCUGUGGAGGUGGGGGUACUGCUCCCUAGAAUGUGAGUGCUGUCUUGGCAGUCCUUUGCUCAGAAUGAAAUUGCAGAAACAUUGAACCUUGCAGCAAAUGUUCCUGCAGUGGCUGUGUCAGUAGCGGGAAACUGAAGCAAGUGGGAUACAGAUUUCUGCCUUGUAAGAGCAGAGUUCUAGGAAGUUUGGGCCCUCUGCUACUAGCAGGCACUGCCUUUCUCAAGGGAGGAAGGCUUUAGGACCCUCCACUGAAGGGCUGUGAAGAGAAAUCAGCUGAUCCUGCUGAUCCCACAGAUAAGACUCCCACACAGUUGUUUGGACCACUGGAUUGUGUUUACAGGCAAGGGGGAAGAGACUGUGAAAACGCGGUGAUCACUGACGCCGUGGCCUGUGGCCUGAAAGCUCCAAGGUCUGAGCACAGUUAGUGCUGGUAUCAUUUGAUAAGCUGUUGGGACAUCAAGGAGUAACUUACACGUGCUGUACUGUUUGGUGCACGCCAAAAGAUGGGCAGAUUAGUGGCACAAGCAAGGACAGCACUGGGAAUUCAGCUUGGAAAACAUUUUAGAAGUGGUUGGAAAAUAUGUUGACUGUUGCAGUGUUUGAUCCUGAUAAUUUUGUCUGUGGGAGAAAGGGUGGGUUCGAGAUGUGUCAUAUGUUCACACUGGUCUGCAAGGGCAAGGGGUGGGGUUUAUAAUGAAUAUGCAGUAAGAUGAUGAUUGUUUUAAAGAUGGAGUUUGAAUAAGGGAGAGAUAAUUCUUAAUAUAUAUCUUUCAAUGAAGUGCAGGGUGGAAGGUAAAGAAGAUAAAUUGCAGAUGGUAUCAAGGGAUGGCAGUGGUGACCUGUGUGGAGACCACUGAAACAGAUAUAAACACCCUGUCCUAUGCCAGAAUUUAAGCUCACACUUCUGUGACUCAGGAUUACUUCUGGAGACCAAGGAGAUCCAUCCUGAAAGAACUUUAUGCCAAGGGGACUGCAGCUGGUGGAUGAGUUUUGCUUGAACAAUGAGACCUCUGAAGGCUGUAUGGUGACUGGGUAACCUGUGCUGGAGAAAGUAUUCACUAAUAAGACAGUGCUCCAAACUUGUGCAUCAUAGUAACAUUGUACCUUUGUUGUUCAAUAAAUCUGUGUGUUCGAUCUCA